GCAUUCACUGUAAGAAGUUGAGUGGCGGACGGGUGAGUAACACGUGGGUAACCUGCCUAAAAGAAGGGGAUAACACUUGGAAAUAGGUGCUAAUACCGUAUAUCUCUAAGGAUCGCAUGAUCCUUAGAUGAAAGAUGGUUCUGCUAUCGCUUUUAGAUGGACCCGCGGCGUAUUAACUAGUUGGUGGGGUAACGGCCUACCAAGGUGAUGAUACGUAGCCGAACUGAGAGGUUGAUCGGCCACAUUGGGACUGAGACACGGCCCAAACUCCUACGGGAGGCAGCAGUAGGGAAUCUUCCACAAUGGACGCAAGUCUGAUGGAGCAACGCCGCGUGAGUGAAGAAGGUCUUCGGAUCGUAAAACUCUGUUGUUAGAGAAGAACACGAGUGAGAGUAACUGUUCAUUCGAUGACGGUAUCUAACCAGCAAGUCACGGCUAACUACGUGCCAGCAGCCGCGGUAAUACGUAGGUGGCAAGCGUUGUCCGGAUUUAUUGGGCGUAAAGGGAACGCAGGCGGUCUUUUAAGUCUGAUGUGAAAGCCUUCGGCUUAACCGGAGUAGUGCAUUGGAAACUGGAAGACUUGAGUGCAGAAGAGGAGAGUGGAACUCCAUGUGUAGCGGUGAAAUGCGUAGAUAUAUGGAAGAACACCAGUGGCGAAAGCGGCUCUCUGGUCUGUAACUGACGCUGAGGUUCGAAAGCGUGGGUAGCAAAACAGGAUUAGAUACCCUGGUAGUCCACGCCGUAAACGAUGAAUGCUAGGUGUUGGAGGGUUUCCGCCCUUCAGUGCCGCAGCUUAACGCAAUUAAGCAUUCC
rnacentral:rRNA from 1 species